rnacentral:rRNA from 1 species
UACGGGGGGGGCAAGCGUUGUUCGGAAUUACUGGGCGUAAAGGGCUCGUAGGUGGCCAACUAAGUCAGACGUGAAAUCCCUCGGCUUAACCGGGGAACUGCGUCUGAUACUGGAUGGCUUGAGUUUGGGAGAGGGAUGCGGAAUUCCAGGUGUAGCGGUGAAAUGCGUAGAUAUCUGGAGGAACACCAGUGGCGAAAGCGGCUUCCUGGUCCAGUACCGACGUUCAGGCACGAAAGCGUGGGGAGCAAACAGG